rnacentral:rRNA from 1 species
UACGGGGGGGGCAAGCGUUGUUCGGAAUUACUGGGCGUAAAGGGCUCGUAGGUGGCCAACUAAGUCAGACGUGAAAUCCCUCGGCUUAACCGGGGAACUGCGUCUGAUACUGGAUGGCUCGAGUUUGGGAGAGGGAUGCGGAAUUCCAGGUGUAGCGGUGAAAUGCGUAGAUAUCUGGAGGAACACCGGUGGCGAAGGCGGCGAUCCUGGACCAACACUGACACUGAGGAGCGAAAGCCAGGGGAGCAAACGGG